UCGUGCAGCACUAGCAGUUGAAGCUGCCAGCAUGAUCUAAACUUUCCUUUUAGUUCAAAUAUAAUUCGAGGAAAGAUCAGAUCAUGUGGCAGCCUUACCUGUCAAUGCCAUCACGA